AACGAACGCUGGCGGCAGGCUUAACACGUGCAAGUCGAACGCCCCGCAAGGGGAGUGGCAGACGGGGGAGUAACGCGUGGGAACAUACCCUUUCCUGCGGAAUAGCUCUGGGAAACUGGAAUUAAUACCGCAUACGCCCUACGGGGGAAAGAUUUAUCGGGGAAGGAUGGGCCCGCGUUGGAUUCGCUAGUUGGGGUAAAGGCCAACCAAGGGGACGAUCCAUAGCGGGGCUGAGAGGAUGAUAAGCCACAUUGGGACUGAGACACGGCCCAAACGCCUACGGGAGGCAGCAGUGGGGAAUAUUGGACAAUGGGCGCAAGCCUGAUCCAGCCAUGCCGCGUGAGUGAUGAAGGCCUUAGGGUUGUAUAGCUCUUUCACCGAUGAAGAUAAUGACGGUAGUCGGAGAAGAAGCCCCGGCUAACUUCGUGACAGCCGCCGCCGUAACAC
rnacentral:rRNA from 1 species